rnacentral:rRNA from 1 species
CCUACGGGAGGCAGCAGUGAGGAAUAUUGGUCAAUGGACGAGAGUCUGAACCAGCCAAGUAGCGUGAAGGAUGACUGCCCUAUGGGUUGUAAACUUCUUUUAUAUGGGAAUAAAAUGUUCCACGUGUGGGAUUUUGUAUGUACCAUAUGAAUAAGGAUCGGCUAACUCCGUGCCAGCAGCCGCGGUAAUACGGAGGAUCCGAGCGUUAUCCGGAUUUAUUGGGUUUAACGGGAGCGUAGGUGGAUUGUUAAGUCAGUUGUGAAAGUUUGCGGAUCAACCGUAAAAUUGCAGUUGAAACUGGCAGUCUUGAGUACAGUAGAGGUGGGCGGAAUUCGUGGUGUAGCGGUGAAAUGCUUAGAUAUCACGAAGAACUCCGAUUGCGAAGGCAGUUCACUGGACUGCAACUGACACUGAGGCUCGAAAGUGUGGGUAUCAAACAGGAUUAGAUACCCGAGUAGUC